AGAGUUUGAUCCUGGCUCAGGAUGAACGCUAGCUACAGGCUUAACACAUGCAAGUCGAGGGGCAGCGGGAAGGAAGCUUGCUUUCUUCGCCGGCGACCGGCGCACGGGUGAGUAACGCGUAUCGAACCUGCCUCAUACUCGGGAAUAACCUUGCGAAAGUAAGACUAAUACCCGAUGUUUUCAUCUCCUCGCAUGAGGAGUUGAACAAAGUUUUUCGGUAUGAGAUGGCGAUGCGUCCCAUUAGCUUGUUGGCGGGGUAACGGCCCACCAAGGCAUCGAUGGGUAGGGGUUCUGAGAGGAAGGUCCCCCACAUUGGAACUGAGACACGGUCCAAACUCCUACGGGAGGCAGCAGUGAGGAAUAUUGGUCAAUGGACGGAAGUCUGAACCAGCCAAGUAGCGUGCAGGAUGACGGCCCUCUGGGUUGUAAACUGCUUUUAGUUGGGAAUAAAGUGCGGUACGUGUACCGUUUUGUAUGUACCAUCAGAAAAAGGACCGGCUAAUUCCGUGCCAGCAGCCGCGGUAAUACGGAAGGUCCAGGCGUUAUCCGGAUUUAUUGGGUUUAAAGGGAGCGCAGGCGGACUCUUAAGUCAGUUGUGAAAUACGGCGGCUCAACCGUCGGACUGCAGUUGAUACUGGGAGUCUUGAGUACACGCAGAGAUACUGGAAUUCAUGGUGUAGCGGUGAAAUGCUCAGAUAUCAUGAGGAACUCCGAUCGCGAAGGCAGGUAUCUGGAGUGUAACUGACGCUGAGGCUCGAAAGUGCGGGUAUCAAACAGGAUUAGAUACCCUGGUAGUCCGCACAGUAAACGAUGAAUACUCGCGGUUGGCGAUAUACAGUCAGCCGCCAAGCGAAAGCGUUAAGUAUUCCACCUGGGGAGUACGCCGGCAACGGUGAAAC
rnacentral:rRNA from 1 species